rnacentral:rRNA from 1 species
GGCUCAGAAUGAACGUUGGCGGCGUGGAUUAGGCAUGCAAGUCGAGCGAGAACCGUAGCAAUACGGGGACAGCGGCGUAAGGGAGAGGAAUACGCAGGUACCUGCCCUCGGACCUGGGAUAGCCAAGGGAAACCUUGGGUAAUACCAGAUAACGUCUUCGGACCAAAGGUGUGAUUCCGUCCGAGGAGGGGCCUACGUCCUAUUAGCUAGUUGGUGGGGUAACGGCCUACCAAGGCAAUGAUGGGUACGGGGUGUGAGAGCAUGACCCCGCUCACUGGGACUGAGACACUGCCCAGACACCUACGGGUGGCUGCAGUCGAGGAUCUUCGGCAAUGGGCGCAAGCCUGACCGAGCGACGCCGCGUGUGGGAUGAAGGCCUUCGGGUUGUAAACCGCUGUUGUAGGGGAGGAAAUGCUGGUGGGUUCUCCCAUCAGUUUGACCUAUCCUAUGAGGAAGUCCGGGCUAAGUUCGUGCCAGCAGCCGCGGUAAGACGAACCGGACAAACGUUAUUCGGAAUCACUGGGCUUAAAGGGUGCGUAGGCGGCUCAGAAAGUUGGGUGUGAAAGCCCUCGGCUCAACCGAGGAACUGCGCCCAAAACUACUGAGCUCGAGGGACACAGAGGUAAGCGGAACUUAGGGUGGAGCGGUGAAAUGCGUUGAUAUCCUAAGGAACACCAGGAGCGAAAGCGGCUUACUGGGUGUCUUCUGACGCUGAGGCACGAAAGCUAGGGGAGCGAAGAGGAUUAGAUACCCUCGUAGUCCUAGCCGUAAACGAUGAGCACUGGUUUGGAGGGUCCUCCAUAGCCUUCUAGACGUAGCGAAAGUGUUAAGUGCUCCGCCUGGGGGAGUAUGGUCGCAAGGCUGAAAC